rnacentral:rRNA from 1 species
UCCGGUUGAUCCUGCCAGAGGCCGCUGCUAUCCGGCUGGGACUAAGCCAUGCUAGUCUAGGGGCUUGUACUCCUUCGGGGGUGCAAGCACCGGCGGACGGCUCAGUAACACGUGGACAACCUGCCCUCGGGUGGGGGAUAACCCCGGGAAACUGGGGCUAAUCCCCCAUAGGUGAUGGGUGCUGGAAUGCCCCAUCUCCGAAAGCGCUUAGCGCCCGAGGAUGGGUCUGCGGCGGAUUAGGUAGUUGGUGGGGUAACGGCCCACCAAGCCUAAGAUCCGUACGGGCCGUGGGAGCAGGAGCCCGGAGAUGGACCCUGAGACAAGGGUCCAGGCCCUACGGGGCGCAGCAGGCGCGAAACCUCCGCAACGCGGGAAACCGCGACGGGGUUAGCCGGAGUGCCCGUGCAUUGCACGGGCUGUCGGGGUGCCUAAACAGCACCCCAUAGCAGGGGCCGGGCAAGGCCGGUGGCAGCCGCCGCGGUAAGACCGGCGGCCCGAGUGGCGGCCACUCUUAUUGGGCCUAAAGCGUCCGUAGCCGGCCCAGUAAGUCCCCCGGGAAAUCUGGUCGCUUAACGAUCAGACUUCCGGGGGAUACUGCUGGGCUAGGGACCGGGAGAGGCCGAGGGUAUUCCCGGG